CCCUCCUGUACCUCCUCCUCCUCCUCCUCUUCCUCCACCGCGAGCACUGACCGCUGCGGCUCCGGAGGCUUCUGCUCCUCUGCCGAGGCCCUGGUGGAUGGAGAUCAUCGUGCUUGGGAUGAUAGGAAGUGCUUUGGCUGUCUUUCUUCUGCUAACAGUCAUUAUCUGCUACAAGGCCAUAAGGAGGAAACCGAAGAAGAUGGAGAAGAAUGGUACAAAUUGUGGAGAAGAUGCCAUGAGCUCUUUUAAAAAGACCAACACUGCUGCAGUGGGCACGAGGAGCGUGUGAAACCCAAAGGAAAUAUUUCCAGCUAAUCAUAAAGUCAAUGAGGUCGGAAUAAUGCAAAGCGAUCCAGAGCCCCUCCGGAUGCAAUUAGAAGGGACAGGGCUGCUGUGUUGAUCUGCAUCAGUGACAUUUGCAUGCUAGUUCGGUAAAAUCACACAAACCCAGCUAAUGACAGAUGUCUGACAAAUAGAUUUCAUAUAGUCGUUCAUUUUAUGUUAACACAUGUCAUGUAUUUUUAAACACAUUUUACACAAUGAUUUAUGCAACUUGGACUGGGAAUUUCUGAAAUGUAAUUUCUGAAA